AGCAAACGAGCUUCUUCUCCAGUUAAUCUGGUUGAGAAUCCAUGGAUCGCGGUCGGUGAUGGUGGGGUUUGGUGGUUGUGUUGGUGAGGCGGAAGAGGAAAGGGUGAUGAGGUAAGAGUGGCGGAGAGAAAGUGAAGGUUUCGUGAGGGAGUGGCGUUGAGUUGUAGGCGGAAAAAGGUUAAGAGGUUGAAGAAGGGAUUGGUUGAGAUUGUUGGUGUUUGACGGCGGAGAGGUUGACGCGGUUACUGUUGGUGGAAAAGGCAGAAGAUAGGAGACAGUGAUGAGGUAAGGCGAGCGUUGAUGUUGUGUGAGGGUUGUACGGAGUGAGGUUGGAGGUGAUGGUGGCGGAUUGGGGUUUAGGGUUGAUGAAGGGUGUGGCGGCGGAUACGUAAGAGAAGAGGAACGGUUUCUUUUUUGUUUUUGUUUUCAGAGGAGAGGUGAGUGAGUGGUGGUAGGCGUGUGAGGAGAGAAGAGUCGUUUGGGUCUGCCGCUAAGCAACUGUUGGGUUUUUUUUCACUCAGCAGCAUCUUUAGUAUUUAUAGUGCCAAACUAGGGUUACUAAAUUUUAAAAAACCAAAAUGCCCUUAAUGAAUGUUGUUAAUGUAAAAAAUAGUUAGAAAUAAUUUAAAUCAAAUAAAAUUACAUUAAUAUAAAUAAUCAAAAUUAAUUCAAAAAAUAUAUAAAAAAUUCUAUUUAUUUAUUUUGAGCAUUUUGACAAAGAAAUAAAAAUAAAUAGACUUAAAAUGAAUAAAAGUCAGGCACAAAAAUGCUAAAAAAAAUUAAAUUGAAUGCACCAAAAUGAUCAGUGCGAAAUAAACUUAUUGAAAAAAUACAGCGUUUCUUUUUAUUUUGAAAUAAAUUUUGACCGGAUUAAACUACGCGAAACGUAGAUUAAUAAAAUUGAUGUCUAGAAGCUUGAUUUUCAAAAUUUUCGUCUACUGAUUUGAUGCACAUCUGGCGAUUAACUCAACCGAUUUGUCUGUAGAUCCGAAAAAAUUGUUUCGACUGAUAUUUUAGGCACUAUGCGGUAUGGAAUGCUAUGUAGAUAUGCAAUAGCUAUGAUGAAUGUGUUGAAUCGGCGAUUCAGGGUCAAAUUGGGGUAUGACAGUUGCCCCUUAAAUAAGUAUCUUCAACUAGAGAAUAUGAAGCAGGACACUCUUCAUAUGAUCAUAGUGGGAGAUAGUUAGAUACUAAGAAGACCCGGAUUUUGAUCAUGAAAUGCAAAUGAUAGGAUAUGAUAUGAGAUGAAUGCCUGAAUGAAUGAGUCUCUUUAUUUGAUUUGCUAGGGACAUGAUCGGACAUAAGAUAAACCCUAGCAUUAUGCUUUAUGAUGGGUACAGAAUGAAACAAAGAUCUGUGGGGAAUGCUGAUGGUCUACAGGGAGACAGACAAAUGGUAAAAAACAACUUGUUGGGGAAAACUAUCCUGUUGGAGAAUCAGACACACAUUGGGGAGUAAUCGAAGUGAAAGUUGAUAAUCAAUACUUAGAACACAAGAGAUUUCGAUAGUAAGUUCACAUAUGACUUACUAAGCCCGAAUAUGAAAAAAAUUCUACAACAGGUUCAUACAUGACCUGGUAAUACUGGAAUAAAGCUCAACAACAGGUUCAUAUAUGACCUGACAAUGCUGGGGAAUAUCAAGAACCUGGUAAUACUGGAAUAAAGCUCAACAACAGGUUCAUAACAUAUAUGACCUGACAAUGCUGGGGAAUAUCAAGAACCUGGUAAUACUGGAAUAAAGCUCAACAACAGGUUCAUAUAUGACCUGAUAACACUGAAACAAUCAUAGAGAAAGACUCUUCAAAACAGGUCCAUACAUGACCUGACAGUGGAAUAAAGCUCAACAACAGGUUCAUAUAUGACCUGACGAUGCUCAACAACAGGUUCAUAUAUGACCUGACAAUGGAAUAAAACUCAACAACAGGUUCAUAUAUGACCUGAAUAAAGCUCAACAACAGGUUCAUAUAUGACCUGACAAUGCUCAACAACAAGUUCAUAUAUGACCUGAAUAAUGCUCAACAACAGGUUCAUAUAUGACCUGACAAUGGAAUAAAGCUAAACAACAGGUUCAUACAUGACCUGACAAUGGAAUAAAGUUCAACAACAGGUUCAUAUAUGACCUGAAUAGCACUGAACAACAGGUUUAUAUAUGACCUGAUAAUGGAAUAAAGCUCAACCACAGGUUCAUAUAUGACCUGGCAAUGGAAUAAAGCUCAACAACAGGUUCAUAUAUGACCUGAAUGAAGCUCAACAACAGGUUCAUAUAUGACCUGACAACACUGAAACAACAGGUCCAUAUAUGACCUGACAAUGGAAUAAAGCUCAACAACAGGUUCAUAUAUGACCUGAAUAAAGCUCAACAACAGGUUCAUAUAUGACCUGACAACACUGAAAUAAGAGGUUCAUAUAUGACCUGAUAAUGGAAUAAAUCUCAACAUCAGGUUCAUAUAUGACCUGAAUGAAGCUCCACAACAGGUUUAUAUAUGACCUGACAAUACUGAAACAACAUGUUCAUAUAUGACCUGACAAUGGAACAAAGCUCAACAACAGGUUCAUAUAUGACCUGAAUAAAGCUCAACAACAGGUUCAUAUAUGACCUGACAAUGGAAUAAAUCUCAACAACAGGUUCAUAUAUGACCUGAAUAAAGCUCAACAACAGGUUCAUAUAUGACCUGAUAACACUGAAACAAUCAUAGAGAAAGACUCUUCAAAACAGGUUCAGACAUGACCUGGUAAUACUGGAAUAAAGACUCAACAACAGGUUCAUACAUGACCUGAAUAAAGCUCAACAACAGGUUCAUAUAUGACCUGACAAUGGAAUAAAGCUCAACAACAGGUUCAUAUAUGACCUGAAUAAAGUUUAAAUACAAUUGGACUUGAAAAUGACUGCGAAAACCGGAUGUUGGUUUAAGGGCACCAAAUACAAACUGGAAUUAGAGGUCAAAGGGUAUAGGAUCAACAACAAGACCUGGGUCAAUGCAAAAUGAGCCCGAAUGACUGCGAAAACCGGAUGUUGGUUUAAGGGCACCAAAUACAAACUGGAAUUAGAGGUCAAAGGGUAUAGGAUCAACAACAAGACCUGGGUCAAUGCAAAAUGAGCCCGAAGUACAUUUCAGCUAUGUAUGAUUUGAAUUUUUUUAUGCAUGAUAUAUGAAUGAUCAUGAUAUGCAAUGCUGACACCUGAGUGGAUAGGGAGUUUGUAAAGACUAUUUAUGGAGAUCAUGAUUCCUCAACACCGAGAACUCAACCAAAUGUUUUAUGAUAGAUGUUGUCAAAGGAGAAUUCUAUCCAGCUUGGCAACCACAAACUUAGCCAAUGAGAUCCUUUUGGAGGAUUAAUGAAUCAUGCUAGCAUAUUUUUUUGGGCACUUGUCUUAAACUCAAUAGUUGUUGACAUAUGGCAGAAUUUGUUUGAUCAAUUUGAAAGCAUGAAGGGUGUCUGCCCCUUUGUGGCUCAUCUUGCCCCAGUCUGUUGGGUCUUUGGAAGUGUUCACCUUGAAAGUGAGUUUGGAAACAACUUGCCAUGAGACUACCUCAAGAUGGCUUGCCCCGAGUGUUUGAAACUUGCAAUGGUCCGAACUUGACUAACCAAAUGUUGGAAUGGUAGACUCUUGAUUGACUUUCCUUGGAUAGUUGGACUUACUGAGCUCUGAGGUGGCUUGCCCCGGUCUGAGUCUUGAGUUUGAAACUUGCAAUGGUCCGAACUUGACUAACCAAAUGUUGGAAUGGUAGACUCUUGAUUGACUUUCCUUGGAUAGUUGGACUUACUGAGCUCUGAGGUGGCUUGCCCCGGUCUGAGUCUUGAAAUAAUUACUCUUGGCGAGAUGACCCUUAGGGUGAUUAGCUCGAAUUAACGGAUGCUCAAAGUGAUUUGCCCCUGACUAGACUUCUUUCACUUUAUCAAGUUCCUCAACUGUAUAUGGAAUUUCUUGAUGCUAAGUGUUGACUCGCAAAUAAGAUUGUUCAUUCUAAAAAAAUGGUAAUUUUAAUUCAAUGCUUAUGCAAAAAUUUGAAAUCAAAGUUUAUCGAUAUGAAUGGGCGGAAUACAGUGAACGAGUCGUUGAUAAGAACACAAUGGUGAUCAAGUCAUUCACAGUGUGAAAGUUGGUGCCAUCAAAUGAUUAACAAAAAUCGUUUGGAGUCAAGUUAACACAACCUUGUUAUAGUAUGCUUUCAAAAUAAACCCUGUCUCAAUUAGGUCUUUUAAGGGUUGUAAUGUGGUCUGGUUCAUGGUUUUUUGAAACAAAAGGAUAUAAGGCUCAAAAUUUAUUUUUAUCCACCCCUUCUUCUUGAUGAUCUCUAGUUCCUAUGUUCAGUUAAUUCAAUACACGCAUUCGACUUCGAAGGUGCGAAAGUGAAAAUGAGGGUUCAAGGUGAGAUUUUCUUGAAAUGGCAGUCACCUUAGUUCAGUUAAUUCAAUACACGCAUUCGACUUCGAAGGUGCGAAAGUGAAAAUGAGGGUUCAAGGUGAGAUUUUCUUGAAAUGGCAGUCACCUUAUUUUGUUUUUGUUGAGGAUUUAAUGACCUCUUUCGAUUGAUUUUCUUUAUCCCUGAUUUUUCCUGGACCGCUUCUUUGAAGCUUUCGGUCCAUCGGGAUGCCCUAACUUUUGCCUAAGUCAUUUUGUGGUAUUUGACUUAGCGGACUUUCUCUGUUUUUUUUACGCGUGUUGACUGCCACAUUAUUGGUGGAUAAGGAUCAACCAACACUAAUUUUAGCUUUUCUCAGCUUCUUCGACACUUCAACAUGUGCGCGAAGGAUAACAUGAGGUUGAACCUAAUUGGAGGGUGUACAUAUGGACGAUUUUUUUUGAAAGAUCGAAUGCACGAUAAAACUAUCUGAACAUAACUACCCUUCCCCAGGUUAAGAUUAAGGGUUUUAGAUCCGAAAUAAACACCAACUUCUAGGCUCAAAGUGGUUGAGUAGGGAUUAACUCCUUAUCUCUUCAUUGUUUGGGGAUUUGAAACAAUGCCUUACAUCAUCGACAAGGUUUUACUCAAAAGCAUACCACAACAAUUUCAGGUGUUUCAUUUUCAUCAUCCUCCUUCCAAUAUUUGUUAACACAACGGUUUGAUAAACAAAAGUAAAUGAGAGGAGUAUUUUUGUUCUUAACAUGAAUGAAAAACGAGUGAAUACCAAUGGAUUAAUUCAAAAGAUGCAUAAACAUUUCAUUAAUCUUACCAAUUCGAAGAAAACAACAAUGCUUAAAAGCAAUUAGCAAUCAACAUGCAAGGCAAAUCCAAAAGAGAUGCUGAAACAACCAAAUGAUUGCCAUCUUCAGGGAAUGCCUUCUUCAAACUUGAUCCAUUAACCUAUGGGGACACCCCUUGAGACCUUCGCACUUAUUUGGUCGAUGGGUUAACGUUUACCACCAAGCUUCCUUCUUGAAAGGCUAUGUACCCGUUGUCAAUCAACUGUUGUACUUUGGCUUUGAAAGUGUUGCAGUCUUCGGUUGAAUGCCCUUCUGAUCCAGCAUGAUAUCCACAUUGCACAUUUGGUUCAUACCCGGGUGGGUAAGGUUGUGGAACCGGCUUAAGAGACUUGGGAACCACCAACGAGUUUUGAAUCAGAGGCUACAGAAGUUGGCUAUAUGUCAUGAUGAUUGGAAAUCCAAGGCGAUAUCUCAAUGCUCUUACCAGGAAAUGAUGAUAUUUCACUAGCCACAUCCUUGACCUCUUCCUUGUGAUACAAAACCUUGAGGGGUUUCAGGGGUCCUUUCCCUUUCACAUUACUUGGCCCAAAAAUCAAGAUAUAUGUACUUGAGCCUUCCUUCUCCAAUGCUUCUUGAAUUUUCCUUAGACAUGGUUCUUUGUUCUAAACGCAUGCCAGGAAUCACUUUGCUCUUCAUGGACAAAGGAUGGAUGAGUGUUUUUUGUAUUUUUUAGAAAAUGAUAUGCAAUGCAUGAUAACGAAUGCAGAUGCAAUGGUAUAUGAAUGAAUGCAAUGUAUUUUUUUAUGUUUUGGUAUGCAAAUAAAAUGCAAUCCAAGUAGUUAGAGUCUGGGAUAACAUGAGUAACUCAGAACACCCUACUAGGUAGGCUCCUUAACAGAUAGUUCUAGGAUUUCUACCCAUAAACCCACUCACAGGAUAGUUUCUACAUUUUUGAUAGGGUUCCCUGAGUCAUGGACCAUAAUCGUAUCAACAUCAUGCAACAGGCUAGCCGCUUUAUGACAAGAGUGACGAAAGGUCUCUUCUGAGCGGGGUUUUCAUGUUGGGUGCAACAAGGAGAGGCCCUUGGAGUCCAAUAUCAACAUCAUGCAACAGGCUAGCCGCUUUAUGACAAGAGUGACGAAAGGUCUCUUCUGAGCGGGGUUUUCAUGUUGGGUGCAACAAGGAGAGGCCCUUGGAGUCCAUCAUUACGCAACCACCAAAGUAGAAACUGGUUCUAAGAGGGGGUCCUAGAGUCAUGGACCCUUAAUGAAUCAACGUCAUGCAACAGGCUAGCUGUCUUAUAAUGAGAUCUACAAACAGGUCUACUGUAGGGGAGUCUUCAUGCUAGGCACGCAAAGAGUGGCCCUUGGGGACUAACACUAUACAACUUCCAAUUCUAAACUUUAUGUGUUCUCUCUUCUUUUUCCAAAGCUCGGGUGUAGAGCUUUAUUCAUGAUAUCAAAAUCCCAACACCCACACGUAGAUAUAUAUACAGAUAUAAAAAUGUGAUAAAACAGAGAUAAAGAAAGCAUAUAACAAAGGAAAAAAAAUAAGCAAACAAAGCUAACACACAUACGAAAACUUAACUGAAUUAGGGUUGACUCACUUAGGGAUGUUCCUGUCCCCAGCAGAGUCGCCAUCUCGCUGGGGAAGUCCCAAUAAGAUGUUUGCAUAUCCCCAGCAUAGUCGCCAUCUGUCGCACCUCGAAAAAUGGGGAUACGACUUUAAAGCGAAGCGCGAUCGCACGCUCACAAUGAUGGACUGAAUAGAGUCACCACCGAACUUUAUUUAUUCCUAAAAAGGAAAGGGGAAAUAUCGAUAAAACCUAAGAAAGAACGACAAUGAUUAUUUGUCGUCGCAACCAAAUCAGGGUUCGGGAGUCGGUUACGCAAGGGGAAGGUAUUAGCACCCCUCACGUCCGUUGUAUUCAACGGGAACCGUUUAGUUAGUUUCUUUUUGAAUGUUAGCUUAUGUUAGUCUUCUUAAAUUAUAAUGAGGGAGAGAAAGAAUAGAAGAGAGAAGAAAUGUUUUUGGAUUUUUGACGAAGGACUAAACCUAAGUUUUUUAUUAGUGGGCCUGACAAGAUUUACAAAUCCUGCUCCUACGUAUCUCAAAAGAGAAAUCAAGGCUUACGUAGUUCUGGGUAGAAAAAUGUUUGUUUGUUGGUCGAUUUUAGCAAAAGCUAUAUUGUAUUAAUCGAAGAAAACAUUGUUUUACCCAAAACAGAUGAGGAGUGGACGUACACCACACAUCGAACGGAUUUAUAAAUCUACAUUCGGAAAAGCGUCACUUAUCUCGACUCAACAAUCGUGGCCGAAACAUUGUUUUGCAUCACCUUAAGGAAAUAUAUCUUUCGUUUAUGAAAAAGGUUUUUGAUAUUAAUCGCACGGCGGCGAGAAAGAGUUUGAUUGGUUGGAUGUAUUUUGAGUGAUGGCGAGAACUUGGAUGAGCGAGAUAUCCAUCUCGAAUCCUAGUCUGAGGAGUGCACGGUAUACACCAUGUUCCACUUACAUAUUUAUUGGCAAAAGUGUUUAAUAAAGAUUAAGUAUUUUGAAUUUGAUUGAGAAAGGGUUUGAAGAAACCGCAUUGACAAUUAUAGACGAUGGCGAGAGCUAAGAUAGGCAAGGCAUCCACCUUGAAUCUUAAUCUCAGAGUGCACGGUAUACCCAAUGUUCCAUUCCAUCUUUAUUGAAAAAGUGUUAAGGUAGAUUAAGUAUUUUUUGAGUUUGAAAGACGGACGUUUAAUAAGAAUGAAGUAUAGCCCCAAGAUAAAUAAUUCAGGAUUCCACCCCGGAAUGCUAGAUUCCAAUGGUCCUUUUUCAUUCGAAUUAUUUAAUGAAAAUGUUUAAUGGACCAACGAACACUUGAUGAGAAUUAAAUGUUCAAAGGGUUACGCCAGAAUGCUUGAUCCCAACGGUCCUUUUCGAAUUAUUUAAAAAAAGUUUGGAUAUUGUAUUUGAUUUUAAGAAAUAUUCUCUCAAUAUGUGAUCAAGGACGUAUACACAUAAAUGAUUUGAGACAGUUUGCCUUGGUUACAAAAAUUAUUUGAAGUCGAAAUUGAAAUGGUUUAAUGGAAAAUGAAAAACUCAAUAAGAACAAGACAUGUGCUUUUGGACUCAAUUGUUCAAGGGUUACACUGGAAUGCUAGAUUCCAACGGUCCUUUUCUUUCGAGUUUGUUUGAGAAAAGAUUUUUGUAAGUUAUGUUUAGAAAUUAUAAAAGAUAUAAAUAACUAGCCUUUUCCUAAGUCUAGGGGUAAAACCGUCAAUUCAUAAUUAUGGUUAAUACUUAAUUAAACUUCUAUUUCAUGAAAAUCCAAAUUAAAAUCAAUUAAAUACUAAACUCAUUUUAAUAUUCUUCAUCCUAAACUAAUUCUAAUUAUUUCUAAAAUCUUAGUGUAGUUAAUUUUAAUAUUUCUAAUUAAAUCUAAUUAAGCUUAUCAAAAUUAAAGAUCCUAAUUAAUCCGAUUAACUCCUAAUUAUCUAUAAUAUUCUCAAUAAUAUUUCUAAUAUUUCUUAAUAUUCUAAAAUAUUAACGUAAUUAACUCCUAAUUAUGAUCCUAAAAAAAAUCUAAUAUUCUAAACUAAAAUUAUUCUAAUCUAAAUCUAAUACUAACCUAAUCUAACUUUAAAUUUCUAAUUGUAUCCUAAAACUCAUCCAAUUAACCUAAAUCCCUAAUUAAUAUUCUAAACUAAUUACCUAAUAUUCCUAAUUAACCUACUAUAUAAUUAAGAAUAUUCUAAAUUUNAUCCCUAAUUAAUAUUCUAAACUAAUUACCUAAUAUUCCUAAUUAACCUACUAUAUAAUUAAGAAUAUUCUAAAUUUCAAUUAAAAGCUAAUUGACCAACAUUGCAACUGGCUAGCCCAUUCGUCAGCCUUCCUAGACUCCAUUUCAACACUGCCCAUUCUAAGUGUAAGCAGAUCACAGUGAUAACUUAGCCUUCUAUCAACAUAUUGGUAAAAGUGUGAAUAAACUAUUUCCAAGGAACUCAUCGCUAAUUGGAUGGAAAGCUCCAGAAUUUCACCAUGGCUAGCUACCGUGGGAAAAGUGCUCUCAUGCAUCCCCCUACCGACAUAGAGACGGGGCUGCGACCACCACAUCAUUAGCAUGACAAUCCUAUAAUUUGAUCUCUCAAGAAAACUCCGAAUGAGUGGGAACAUAAACAAUAUGGCAGCUAGCGUAUUUGGUGACAAGUAUACAAUAACAGCCAUAAUAAACAUUGAAGGUGAGUGUUUAUUGCUUCCAAACCAACUUUGGAUGGUUUGAGCAAAGCUAGGAGGAUUUUCCCAAGUAUAAGCAUAAGUGACCGAUAAAACAAUCACCCAUGCUGCAGAUGAAACAACCUUUAGAAUGUAUCCUAACUUAACAUACAUCAACAUGCUCCGCUGUGCUUUCCAACUGAGGAUCACAUCAAGAAUGGCUUGUCCAAGCUUUAAUAUAGCUGCUGUUAUAAACACGCUAAGUGCCUUCUUGAAAACAUUACCAUUAAAUAUUGUACUUAGAUCCCUAUUUCCAUUCCAAGCAACAAUAAUCAUAGCCUGUAAGCUUAGAAUGAAAAAAACUCCACAUGCGAUCAAAAAAAGUCUAACAACACACUACUUCUAACAUUUACACUACAACUGUAUAUCCAACUGAAACACAAUCAAAACCGAAAUACUAUCGAUUAUUGUUUUAUCGAUGGUGCGACUAAUUCCGACGAUAAAAUUCCCGUCAUACACAAAUUCCCGUUCGUAGCGUUAGUAGCAUUCCCUGUGUCACGCGCGUCUUUCUGUGUUGCGGGUAUAGGUCCAAAUCCAAUGUCGUCGAAGCUUUUUCUUUCAGGCCAAACACGGCUAUCCAAAACACCGAAAACAACCUCGCUUGCUGAACUUUAUUCCGGGAACAUCUCUGCGCUUUUAUCAAGGCCAAGAAACUGAGGAGUCCUUGUCGUGUGAAGCUCGUAUAUAACCUCCGACAACACCGCUAGAAUCCUCGUUUGGCUCUCGAGCAAACGAGCUUCUUCUUCAAUUAAUCUGGUUGAGAAUCCAUGGAUCGCGGUCGGUGAUGGUGGGGUUUAGUGGUUGUGUUGGUGAGGCGGAAGAGGAAAGGGUGAUGAGGUAAGAGUGGCGGAGAGAGAGUGAAGGUUUCGUGAGGGAGUGGCGUUGAGUUGUAGGCGGAAAAAGGUUAAGAGGUUGAAGAAGGGAUUGGUUGAGAUUGUUGGUGUUUGACGGCGGAGAGGUUGACGCGGUUACUGUUGGUGGAAAAGGCAGAAGAUAGGAGACGGUGAUGAGGUAAGGCGAGCGUUGAUGUUGUGUGAGGGUUGUACGGAGUGAGAUUGGAGGUGAUGGUGGCGGAUUGGGGUUUAGGGUUGAUGAAGGGUGUGGCGGCGGAUACGGUAAGAGAAGAGGAACGGUUUCUUUUUUGUUUUUCUUUUCAGAGGAGAGGUGAGUGAGUGGUGGUAGGCGUGUGAGGAGAGAAGAGUCGUUUGGGUCUUCCGCUAGGCAACUGUUGGGUUUUUUUUCAUUCACCAGCAUCUUUAGUAUUUAUAGUGCCAAACUAGGGUUACUAAAUUUUAAAAAACCAAAAAUACCCUUAAUGAAUGUUGUUAAUGUAAAAAAUAGUUAGAAAUAAUUUAAAUCAAAUAAAAUUACAUUAAUAUAAAUAAUCAAAAUUAAUUCAAAAAAUAUAUAAAAAAUUCUAUUUAUUUAUUUUGAGCAUUUUGACAAAGAAAUAAAAAUAAAUGGACUUAAAGUGAGUAAAAGUCAGGCACAAAAAUGCUAAAAAAAUUAAAUUGAAUGCACCAAAAUGAUCAGUGUGAAAUAAACUUAUUGGAAAAAUACAACGUUUCUUUUUAUUUUGAAAUAAAUUUUGACUGGUUAAGCAGGCUUGAGCUGAUCAGAAAGUGGCCGAAAAAUUAGCUGAAAAAUAAAUCGAGCAUACCAGAUUAAACUACGCGAAACGUAGAUUAAUAAAAUUGAUGUCUAGAAGCUUGAUUUUAAAAGUUUUCGUCUACUGAUUUGACGCACAUCUGGCGAUUAACUCAAUCGGUUUGUCUGUAGAUCCGAAAAAAUUGUUUCGACUGAUAUUUUAGGCACUAUGCGGUAUGGAAUGCAUGGAAUGCUAUGUAGAUAUGCAAUAGCUAUGAUGAAUGUGUUGAAUCGGCGAUUCAGGGUCAAAAUUGGGGUAUGACAAUGUUGAAGAGAUUCCUGACGAGAUUGCCCGUCUACUUGAGCACGAAGAGAAGAUCAUUCAGCCGCAUCUUGAGAAUCUGGAAACAGUCAACUUGGGGUCCGAAGAUUGUGUGCGAGAAGUGAAGAUUGGGGCACUCCUGGAAGAGUCUGUCAAGAAGGGGUUGAUUGAGUUGCUACGAGAAUACGUCGACGUCUUUGCUUGGUCAUAUGAAGACAUGUCUGGUCUAGAUACUGAUAUCGUGCAACAUUUCCUGCCUUUGAAGCCUGAGUGCGUGCCUGUGAAGCAGAAGCUCAGAAGAACUCAUCCUGAUAUGGAAGUGAAGAUCAAAGAAGAGGUUCAGAAGCAAAUAUAUGUGGGGUUUCUGGUGACUUCUACAUAUCCUCAAUGGGUGGCCAAUAUUGUGCCCGUGCCUAAGAAAGAUGGAAAAGUCUGGAUGUGUGUGGACUAUAGAGACUUGAAUAAAGCUAGUCCGAAAGAAUUAGAAGAAGAUACAAAGGAUUCUGGCAACUUCAUCAUCCCUGGUGGGGUCUGCAACAAUUGGGUCGCUGUGGAUAUUCCAACAGUUGUCCAUAAGUCAACGUAAUAAUCACUUUGUUUAAAAACCCAUCUCCCAUGCCAAAAGGAGGAGUGAUGACAUUGUUGUCGCAUAAAUACAAUGAUAUUUUUAUUCAAUAAAUUCAUGUUAAAUGUUUGUUUUUCCAUUUAUUUUCCCUUUUUGCUUUUCGCAUGAAAUUGGUGAUCACAUAAAACCUCAAAAUGGAAUAAAAUAAAUCUUUUCAUCUGCAUAAUGAUUUGCCUUGUUUGAAUUCUAAAUCUUUUCAUAUCCAAAAUCAUUAUGCAGGUUGAUUUCUAAGCCCAUUGAACAUAAUGACCCAACACCAUCUCCCAAUUUUGAAUUCCCUGUAUUUGAGGCAGAGGAAGACGAUGUUGAAGAGAUUCCUGAUGAGAUCACCCGGCUACUUCAGCAUGAAGAGAAGAUCAUUCAGCCGCAUCUUGAGAAUCUGGAAACAGUCAACUUGGGGUCUGAAGAUUGUGUGCGAGAGGUAAAGAUUGGGGCACUUCUGGAAGAAUCGGUUAAGAAGGGGUUGAUUAAGCCGCAUCUUGAGAAUCUGGAAACAGUCAACUUGGGGUCUGAAGAUUGUGUGCGAGAGGUAAAGAUUGGGGCACUUCUGGAAGAAUCGGUUAAGAAGGGGUUGAUUAAGU
rnacentral:lncRNA from 1 species